GUUAUUGUAGUUGAACCAACGGUGGCUUUUCAAGUCAUUAGUCCUGGUUAAAGCCCAGGCGAGAAUU
rnacentral:tRNA from 1 species